rnacentral:rRNA from 1 species
UACGUAUGGUGCAAGCGUUGUUCGGAAUCACUGGGCGUAAAGAGCACGCAGGCGGACCAUUAAGUCAGGUGUGAAAACUAUGGGCUCAACCCAUAGCCUGCACUUGAAACUGUUGGUCUGGAGUCCCGGAGAGGUGGGUGGAAUUCUCGGUGUAGCGGUGAAAUGCGUAGAUAUCGAGAGGAACACCAAUGGCGAAGGCAGCCCACUGGACGGUGACUGACGCUGAGGUGCGAAAGCGUGGGGAGCAAAC